UGUGAUUGGGUUACCUCACUCAGGAUGCUA
rnacentral:piRNA from 2 species